AUUUUUAUUUCUUUCCCAAAUCACCGUUUCCACUCGUGCCCGACCCUCUCCUUCCCCGAUCUCCCCGAUCCCCUCUGCUCACGCGCUCUCUCUCGCGGACAAAUCGACGCCGAUGGGAGUGGGGCUUCUAGCUCCGACGAUCUUCCUCUGUUGGCAUCGCCAUCUUCAGCUCAGAUCCGGCCGAUGCUUUUCCUCUCCGGAUCGUCAUCGCAUCGCGUCUCCUCGCAGCCUCACCUCACUACCAUCACCUGAUCGCCGGCGAAGAUCGGGGCUCAGAGCACAGAGGUGAGGAGCUAGCUUCACCCAGAUCUUGCGACGUCCUCUCCUGAUCCUUCUUCCCUUAUUCUUCUCAAUUUCAUGGAUGUCGGUCAUACUCGACGAUCACCAUCCAGUGCCUGAGAUACCAACUGUGCCCUAGCAGGAUCUUGAAGGUCACAGAUUUGGAGAUGUUAGUAUCAGGGAGGUGUUCUUGAGCUGCCGGGUAGAGGCUAGAAGGAUUGUUUAUUUGAUCCAUGAUCUCCAUGGCUUGAUCUACUUCUUGAUCCGAUUGAUUCCAACAGUGAGGAUAUGAUCUAUGGAGUUGUUCUUGGUUCCGGCAACACUCCAACCAGCAGCUUCUCUGGUUCCAACAAUCAACAGUGGGUGUGAAUUGAGGACUCUGAUUCGAGAUCAUCAUCUCGACGUCAGAUCUGGCUUGACACCACCUUCUAUUUGAGGCAGGUUGAGGCCGUCAGGAGAUUCCAGUCGCUAGCCCUCUUAUUGCAAGGACUUUCAGUUGUCGAGUUUUGUUUUUGUUACUAAGUCUUUAUACACUUGUGAUGUGGGUUCUUGUAUUGUGGACUUUAUGAUGAACUUUUGGGUUUGCUACUCUUGUUUUCCACUGCGGAUGUUUUCAUUACUUCAUGGAUUUCAUUUCUUUGUUAUAGUGGAGUAGGAUUUACAUAUAUCCGCGAUGAUUCCUUUAUCGUCUUUUCUUUUAGUAAUUUUUGUUGUCAGCCGGAGGCUGUAUAUUAAACCGUGUGGAUUGAUUAUAUAAACUGCGUGGUUUGUCUAUUA